UACGUAGGGACCACGCGUUGUUCGGAUUUACUGGGCGUAAAGGGCGCGUAGGCGGCAAUUCAAGUCAGCUGUGAAAUCUCCGGGCUUAACUCGGAACGGUCAGCUGAUACUGCUUUGCUAGAGUGCAGAAGGGGCAAUCGGAAUUCUUGGUGUAGCGGUGAAAUGCGUAGAUAUCAAGAGGAACACCUGAGGUGAAGACGGGUUGCUGGGCUGACACUGACGCUGAGGCGCGAAAGCUAGGGUAGCAAACGGG
rnacentral:rRNA from 1 species